rnacentral:rRNA from 1 species
CAGCAGUAGCCACGGUAAUACAGAGGGUGCGAGCGUUAAUCGGAUUUACUGGGCGUAAAGCGUGCGUAGGCGGCUUUUUAAGUCGGAUGUGAAAUCCCUGAGCUUAACUUAGGAAUUGCAUUCGAUACUGGGAAGCUAGAGUAUGGGAGAGGAUGGUAGAAUUCCAGGUGUAGCGGUGAAAUGCGUAGAGAUCUGGAGGAAUACCGAUGGCGAAGGCAGCCAUCUGGCCUAAUACUGACGCUGAGGUACGAAAGCAUGGGGAGCAAACAGGAUUAGAUACCCGUGUAGUCCCUGUCUCUUAUAC